UACGUAGGGGGCGAGCGUUGUCCGGAUUUACUGGGCGUAAAGAGCGCGUAGGCGGCUUGUUAAGUUGGCUGUGAAAGUCCCUGGCCUAACUGGGGAAAGUCGGCCGAGACUGGCAGGCUAGAGAGCGGUAGAGGAAGGUGGAAUUCCGGGUGUAGUGGUGAAAUGCGUAGAUAUCCGGAGGAACACCGGUAGCGAAGGCGGCCUUCUGGGCCGUUUCUGACGCUGAGGCGCGAAAGCGUGGGGAGCGAACCGA
rnacentral:rRNA from 1 species